rnacentral:rRNA from 1 species
AGAGUUUGAUCCUGGCUCAGGACGAACGCUGGCGGCGUGCCUAAUACAUGCAAGUCGAGCGAAUCGAUGGGAGCUUGCUCCCUGAGAUUAGCGGCGGACGGGUGAGUAACACGUGGGCAACCUGCCUGUAAGACUGGGAUAACUCCGGGAAACCGGAGCUAAUACCGGAUAGUAUCUUGAACCGCAUGGUUCAAGUUGGAAAGACGGUUUCGGCUGUCACUUACAGAUGGGCCCGCGGCGCAUUAGCUAGUUGGUGAGGUAAUGGCUCACCAAGGCAACGAUGCGUAGCCGACCUGAGAGGGUGAUCGGCCACACUGGGACUGAGACACGGCCCAGACUCCUACGGGAGGCAGCAGUAGGGAAUCUUCCGCAAUGGACGAAAGUCUGACGGAGCAACGCCGCGUGAGUGAUGAAGGUUUUCGGAUCGUAAAACUCUGUUGUUAGGGAAGAACAAGUGCGAGAGUAACUGCUCGCACCUUGACGGUACCUAACCAGAAAGCCACGGCUAACUACGUGCCAGCAGCCGCGGUAAUACGUAGGUGGCAAGCGUUGUCCGGAAUUAUUGGGCGUAAAGCGCGCGCAGGCGGUUUCUUAAGUCUGAUGUGAAAGCCCCCGGCUCAACCGGGGAGGGUCAUUGGAAACUGGGAAACUUGAGUGCAGAAGAGGAGAGUGGAAUUCCACGUGUAGCGGUGAAAUGCGUAGAGAUGUGGAGGAACACCAGUGGCGAAGGCGACUCUCUGGUCUGUAACUGACGCUGAGGCGCGAAAGCGUGGGGAGCGAACAGGAUUAGAUACCCUGGUAGUCCACGCCGUAAACGAUGAGUGCUAAGUGUUAGAGGGUUUCCGCCCUUUAGUGCUGCAGCUAACGCAUUAAGCACUCCGCCUGGGGAGUACGGCCGCAAGGCUGAAACUCAAAGGAAUUGACGG